CAGUAGAGGUGCAUUGUCUUGCAGAUUCAGAGAGAAUAAGUGACUCCAGACUAUUUAUGAUGACACAAACCACUAUUCCUCUCCUUCUGGAGAAGAGGAGGCUCUGAAGAGACCUUAUCACUCUGUACAACUACCUGAAAGGAGGUUGUGGUGAGGACUCUCACAGAUGUCAGGAGUCUGGAAUGGCAGGUGGUACUUUAGAGCCCAUAAGACAGCAUGGGCUACAACAGGCACGUUUAAAACAGGCACGACCGGCCUCUAGCAAGAUGUGCUAGGUGAAGUUUCACUAUUGGAGAGUGAGACUAGAAAUGAGCCCGAACAAAUCAGUAGUAGCAGAUGAUCCAAGAGGAGGUGUUUUCUGCUGCCCCUCAAUGGAAUUACAAAGUAAGCAAAGAGAUUAUGUCUCCCAAGAUGAUGUCAAUACAGCUCAGUGUCAGGAAUCUCACGCUCAGGCCUGGUACAGCCUCAUACCAGAAGAAAAAGCAGAUUCUGACACCAACAAUUCUUACUUGAGUCCAUUUUCAAACACUCCAGUGAUGCAGAACAAACGAAAAUAGCCAUGUCAUCUCAUCCCAAUAAGCUGUUGGAUUUUUUUGGCAUUCUCAGGCUUGUACUCAGAAGUAUAGGAAAGCAAGAGCCCUUGUUAAUUCUUUC
rnacentral:lncRNA from 1 species